rnacentral:lncRNA from 1 species
AGAUCUAUAGAUGAAAUUUUUUGGGUUAAUGGUUAUAUUUGUGUUCAAUAUGUUUUGUAAAUUUGAGCUCAAUCUAAUGGUUGAAUUAAAGAUUAUUGAAGUUUAGAUGAGUCAAGGUCUCAGAAAGUAGAACUUUAGGUCCAAUGAGGGUUUUUAAGAUUUCUUACAAUCUACUAGUUGUAUUGAAGUGAAAUUUAUGUGAGAGGAUAUUAGAAUUAUUUUUCUAUGUAUAUGAGAAUUUUGAGAUCAAUCAAAUGGUAAAAAGGAGAGAUAGGCUUUAGGAGAUCGACAUUAAGGUUGGAGAAGGAGGCCGGCCAAUACCCGAGCAUGUUUUUGAGGUUAUUGAUUAUUUGAUAAUUUCGAUCUUUUUCAAAAAUUUUGUACGUAUUUUCAACUUAGUUUUUAAGAAGUGUCGAAAAUUUGAAUUAAGAUCAAUAAUUUAAUCAUUAGUUAUUGAGGUUUAAUUUUGUUAUAGAAAUGACUAGGAUUUGAUUAGGAUUUGAUUAAGAGUUAGGAUUUGGUUAGGAUUUGAUUUAGGAUUAAGUUAGGAUUUGAUUUAGGAUUAAGAUUUGGUUAGGAUUUGAUUUAGGAUUUACUUUAGGAUUUAGGGUUUUAUUUAGGGUUUAAGAUUUAUUUAGUUUUUGGCCUAAAAUUUGAAUGAAGUCCAAUAGGAUUUUAACUAGGAUUAAAUUAAGAUGUAUUUGAGAUAUAUUUUUGAUUAUUCUAAUAUUUCUUUAAGAUUUCUUAUUGUUUCUUUGAAAUUCCUUUGAAUUUUCUUUGAAUUUGAUUAAAGCUUACUUAACAUUAUUAUGGUCUAAUUAGAGUUUAAUUAGUAUUCUAUUAGAAUUAGGAUUUUUUUGUUGCAAUUUUUAUUCUAUCUUUGACAGCUAGGUGCCCGGAGCAUUCUCAAGCAAGACUUCAUAUAUUACGACAACGGUUGAAUUGGAUGUUACAGCUUGUUAAAGUUCACUGAUUAGGAUUGGAGUUUCCAAGAAAAAUCUAAAUUGCUUAAAUAUGAAAGUA